rnacentral:rRNA from 1 species
AUACGGAGGGUCCAAGCGUUAUCCGGAAUCAUUGGGUUUAAAGGGUCCGCAGGCGGUCAAUUAAGUCAGAGGUGAAAGCCCAUCGCUCAACGAUGGCACUGCCUUUGAUACUGGUUGACUUGAGUUAUACGGAAGUAGAUAGAAUAAGUAGUGUAGCGGUGAAAUGCAUAGAUAUUACUUAGAAUACCGAUUGCGAAGGCAGUCUACUACGUACAUACUGACGCUGAGGGACGAAAGCGUGGGGAGCGAACAGGAUUAGAAACCCCGUAGUCC